rnacentral:rRNA from 1 species
UACGUAGGUGGCAAGCGUUGUCCGGAAUUACUGGGUGUAAAGCGUGCGCAGGCGGUGAGCUGUGUCCGAUGUGAAAGCCCCGGGCUUAACCUGGGAAUGGCAUUGGAAACUGGCUCGCUGGAGUGUGGCAGAGGGGGGUGGAAUUCCGCGUGUAGCAGUGAAAUGCGUAGAGAUGCGGAGGAACACCGAUGGCGAAGGCAGCCCCCCUGGGCUAACACUGACGCUCAGGCACGAAAGCGUGGGGAGCAAACAGG